GGCCUCGUGACCGAGCGGUUAGGUAGGAGUCUGCAAAACUCCGUACGGCGGUUCGACUCCGCCCGAGGCCUCCA
rnacentral:tRNA from 1 species